UAGCAUGGAGAUGUGGGCAUUAAUACUCACUAGCAUGACCUCCCCCACUGACCCAGGAGGUGCUGCCUUGCUAAACUUGAAGGGGCUGCAUCUCACUCAGAAAUUCCACGAAUGCUUGUUCAAUUGGUACCUCUUCUACUUUAUUGCCUCUCUUGUAAAAUAACUUCUGUCUUUUAAAAUAUUUUUAUGUUAACAUUAUGGAUCCUUGAUUUUUUUUUCCUUUUUAAGCCUUAGAACAUUCUGUAAAAAAGGAAACUUUGGGUUACCCGAAGCUUGACCCAUAAGAAAUCUAACUUCAGAUUUUAUAGGUCAAUAGAGUAUUUUUUUCAAAAUGGAGUAAUUUAUACAAAUGUAAAAUUUGGGUUAUAGUUUAACACUUACUGUGAUGUAUAUCAAAUUGCCUUGAUUUCGAAUCUGUCACUGAACAUAUUUUUACAAUAUCAGUAAAAUAUCCUUAUAGUAAAACUUUGUGACAAGGCUGUUAAAGUAAAAAGGUUUAAUGAUUAGAAGUGAGCAGAGCACGGUGCAGUCAAGCAUCGGUGUUUCUUAUGAAGUGAGCAGAGCAUGGUGCAGUCAAGCAUCAGUGUUUCUUAUGAAGUGAGCAGAGCAUGGUGCAGUCAAGCAUCAGUGUUUCUUAUGAAGUGAGCAGAGCAUGGUGCAGUCAAGCAUCAGUGUUUCUGAUGACGUCUUCACACCACUGUUGAUUAAUUGACUGUCCAAAAGUCACCAGUAUUUGGGCAGAAAAACAUUUCAAAACCAAUAUACUGUCAUUUAUAAUACAAUGUUCUAAAUGUCAAUGAGAAUACACUCAUGACCACCAAUAAUUAUAGAUUAUAUUUAGGACUUAUUAGAACACCAUAUAUAAAAUUUUUAAAUGGUCAUCUAUGUAUACAAGUGUAUUACAAUUAACAAAAUUGCCAGAGAAGGUAAACUUUGAAAAUACUUUCUCUUCAUAGGUUUGAAAUUGUUUGGUUCCAUUUUUAUGAAAUGUCUAGACUAGUGUCUUCACUAUUUUCAUAUUGACUAAAUAGCCUGCACUUCUUUGGUAUGUUUAUUAUUUGGUGCAAACAUGACCAUUGGUUAUUACAGUUUUUAAGUACCUACUUCUUUACCGUGUCCGUAUUUCCUUCACUUUUCUAUUCUCAGUAUUCCAUGACCUAAUUACCUAUUACACAGUGGCUGCCUUAGUUCUGUGUUUUGAUAUAGUGUUAUUAACCACAGGCAUUUCUAGUGUGGUUCUUAUUCUUAAAACUUACCUUAUUCUUUUUCUUUCUAAAACUUUGUUGGAAAUCCUCACAAACACUUGAAAACAUUAUUUCUUGAAGGGGUAGGUUUGGAUUGCAUGCUAAGAUGACUGCCUAGUCUAACCAUAUGUGAAUCCAAUAAAGCUUUCUGGGCUUCCAUCUGGUCUGGUUGUUAUUGAGUAGAAUCAGGAACAUUCACCUUC
rnacentral:lncRNA from 1 species